GUGCGAAAGCCAUGUAGCCACCGGCGUGGUAGAGUGCUGCCGCUGGGUUUCUUUGUGCAAUUCUGGGCCUGGUAACACGAGAGGUUUGCGCAUGGUCAAGUAGCAGUCAUAGGUGGUUGGUAUUUAUUAGUCCAUCGUCGUGGUCGUGCCUAGGCGCCGUCGUGGUCGCUACCGUCUCAAGAGCACCGAGUGCCGCGAUCCCAAGCAGAAGGACUGGAAGUUGAGGCCGUACCGGCAGAUGGCGAGGUUGCCGCUGCGCCCCAGGCAGUAGAAGCAGCGGUAGAGGAUGGAGCUGGAGCACCGGGAGAAGCGGACGGACGCGGAGAUGCUCGCGGAGCUGGCGGUGAGGGGAGCGGCCCUCGCCUAGUUCCGGCGGCAGACCCGCGAGUGGUGCGACGAGUGGCAGUACAAGUGGAUGUUUCAGCGGCUCCAGUACGGCGAGCGGCAGUUCGAGGAGCAGACCCGCUACCGGCGGCGGUGGUGGAAGCCGCCGAAGAUGCAGAAGAAGCAGGUGCUGCUGUUCGUCAUGGUCGUCGACGUCCUGCGCAGCCGCCGGCGGCUCGCGCCCCUGCAGCGGUUGAUCAUCGACAUGAUCUGCCGCCGCCCCGCGAACGGCGGCGCUCCAUGCACGAAGCCACGAUUGUCGCCGCACCCCGCAAUCUAGACCCCCGUUUGAUGAUCCAGCAAGGACAUAGAACCGACAAGGAGAAGCGAAAAAAACGGCCGAACGACAGUGUACGAGACGAAACCGAACGGCCACACGAGCCUAAUCGUCUAGACCUUAAACCGGUGGCCGUCUCCUCUAGACAGGUCAAACUAAUAUACGAACAACUAGUGUAACUAUUAACACACGGGACAACUCUUCACUCAAACACAAUUAAUAUCAAGGACUAACCUGGUGGUUUAACCCGCACACAGGCGGUGCUCCUCCUUCUUUGACGCUGUCGAAUUCCAUUCAACUCACCUAACGUUAACACAUUCCCGAGAUAAACGUAGUCCUCCUCCCAUCCCCUUGUCUACGACUCCCUCAUAUCUCUUCUUUGGUCUCUUUUCGGUAUCAGACGCUUUCACCUACUAGGGAACCAUGUCUCCACCACAACUUUGACGUCUAUCAAAGGAACUUAAACACACUUUUGUCACUUAACAGCACUGAUUGGUGUUCAACUGUUGAGGUGCCCUUGAAAUCUAACUUGUACACCGGUGACCUUUAAACUAGUUGCUUGCCUUUUAUAAAGUUGGCAUGAACUCCAUAUACUCUCGUUCUCAGCUUUAGUCAGUUGGUAACCACCGGAGUAGUCGCACGCUAACAAAAACAUGAUAGAAUUUCUAAAGUCGACUAAAUACAGGCACGAACGUUUCUCACAGACCUAACGAGAAUGGUGGACCUAUUUAUAGAAAAGUACCUAGUAAGUUCUUUGAACUUCACGUCUAUAGGAAGUAUGAGGUGGAAAAGAACAGUUCUUUUAUACUGAUUCUGUUAUUUACCCGUUAUAAAGUUGACCUAAACUCUAUCCUCUAGUUCUCAGUUUAAGUAAGUUGGUAACCACCGGAGUAGUCGCAAGUUAACAUAAAACGUGAGAGAAUUUCUAAAGUCGACUAAAUACAGGGACGAACGCUUCUCGUCGACCAAAUGAGAGUUGAACUGCGUCUUCAUACCUACGACCCUUGGUGCAGUGGAGGACCUACUUCCUCUAGUAAAGUGCCAAGUAAAUUCUUUUAACCGUUUCACGUCUCUAGGAAGUAUAUUGAAGUUCUUUUAUUCUGUUCUGUUCUAACACACGUCUCUGACCUCUCGGUCUUAUUAUUUCUCAUCUCUUCAACAAGUGCAGUCUUCUUGUUACUCCUCCCUUGAACAAGUACAAACGAAAAGACAAAUGGUCAUAUGGCUACUUGACAAGCAUUACUUUUAUGUUCGUGUCUGAUUCUGUCGAGUAACUAUUGAUACACAUCACCCUCGAUCCUUUCACAGUAACCUUAAAUAAUAGUCGUCAUUACCUACUGUGUAUGUUCUCUUAACUAUGUUCUUUUAAAUGUUUCGUCGCCUACACGUUCGUCUUUGUUUAUAUAAUGUCGAUACUGUUACGACUACGGUCACGGUUAAGGCUACGAUUAAGAAACAGUGUAAUGGGCCGUUCGGCUGUCGUUCCACUCAACGUUCCCUUCUCUUUUCCGGUUCUAUAUUAUUGGGGAUCAACGGGUUUAUAUUAAACGGCAGCGACAACGGACUCCAUACACGACGCGACAUCGUUCACGUGUCGGACGGGAUAAAUGCGCAAAUUCAACUUAUUUAAGGUGAUAGACGCUCGAUAUUCGACAUCGGAAAUAUAUUUGACAUAAUACAGAUAGAUACUAAUAUAGCAUACAACAAGUACAGACAUUGACAGCAAGUACCGACCCAAUUCAUGCAUAACAUGUGAUGACCGAAGAUGACAGCAAACGAGGAGCAACAUUAUAAUCCCCCAAGUAGUAGCCUAUAAGUACCAGACAUAAGUCAUAAAGACAUAUUUUACCCACGGAGACACGACAGGAUCAUUAUCACGUAAUAGGACCUCUACGAGACAUAAGGCAAGUAGAGAAAAAGCAGUUGAGAGAAACCGUUGAAAUAAUAUAAAUAAUAAAAGUAUUGUUCAGACAGGUAAACCUCAUCAGAAAACACCCCCGCAGUCCGAAUAUCGGCCGUCGUUACACGUAUUGGACAGUUGUUUCCGUCGUCGCCGACGUUGCUGGUCAAGUAUGCCGACGCACGUUGUCAGGUUACACGUGUCAGGUUACGACUCUCAAAGUUCAAAAGAAACGCACUAUCACGUUCUCCGUCCUAGCUACUCCGAUGGUUCUUUGUGGAAGGAACGUCGUUCCCAACACGAUAUCAUCUUGAACUGUUUGGCUGCUGGUACUAAACGACUAUCUACUCACGAGCGACCAGCGAAGGGAACGGGUUGGACUCUGGCGUGAAACCAAUAAAAUAUAUGGGAGC
rnacentral:rRNA from 1 species